GGGAGGGGUAGUUUAAUCCCAAAGCCAAGGACAAGGGCCAUGGACAGAGAAGGUACUGGGGUCUUUGCUGCUGUGAUCACAGCAGUGCAGCAGGCAGGCUACAGAAACAGGUCUGGAUGGGACCCACCAUUUACUGCUGAGGUUUUACAUGGGAUCCCUUCCCAGAAAUCCCCCCACCCAACCCUAGGUCACACCACAACCUUCUUGCUUUCUCUCAGCUCUUUGCCAAGGGCCAGAAAUCUCUGCAGUGCGGCCCUCCUGCUGCUAAUGGCUUCUCUGUCUCUCUUAGGGAUUGUGCGCCAGGAGACCUCACUAGCUUCUUCCGAUGAUGUUCUCAGUGCCCCCAGUCCUAGCCAUGCAGACGACAGUGACACAGCUCUGCAGCCCCUUUCACAGGGACUCCACAGCCACUGUGUUCUGCCGUGUCUUUUCCUGAUCACUGGCAAGCACUGGGAAGACAAUCUCCUUGCGGAAAAUCUCAAAUGUGUCAUAUCUUGAUGGAGAUGCUUUAUUUCGUGGAUGCUCAAGCUCAGAGGUUGCCACCAGGAGUCCUGCCAAGGCUUUGAAAUAAACAAGGAAUAGGACUGGAUGCA
rnacentral:lncRNA from 1 species